GCGACCGGAGCGAGCGGACGUCCCUCUGGGAGCUCGGUGCCGGGAGGCUCCUACCCUUCCCCGUGCUCGCUACCCAGAGGAGCUGCCGGGGCUUCCCCGGGCUCGCUACCCAGAGGAGCUGCCGGAGCUCCCCCGGGCUCGCUACCCAGAGGAGCUGCCGGAGCUCCCCCGCACCUACUACCCAGAAGACUCACCAGAGCCACCCUGGACCGCCGUUCCGGAGGAGUUGCCGGACCUGCCACCCAGCCCCGGCCGAGACGAACUCAUGCACCUGGACCCGGUGGAGGACGCCCCAGGAUCCAGAGUGUUUAUCUUCAAAACCUCUAAAGUUGCCCCUUGCUGAUCAUCAGAAUUAGCCCUAUAAAGUCAUGAUACAAGCUUAACUGUAGUGGAGCUGCUGUGUCUCUAUAAUAUAUGUCAAAAACAAAGCUGCCCAGCACCACCAAUGGACUUCAUCCAUUUAUUUGAAAAAAAUUGAUGAUGUGGAAUGAAGGUUACAGGAGCUGAAUCACUGGAGGGCUUGUCAGCAGGGAGAAGCAAUACUCCUCAGUCACUGGGGGUCUGGGGUACAAACAUCAGCUGAGAAAGGAAUUUUCAUCUCCAUCUCCCAUAUUGCAAAUCUCUGCUUCAAACCUCACUACUCAGACAUGGCUUACGGAAAGUAAUUUAAGGUGUUCACCUAUACUGGCAAUCCCUGAGAGGACAGAAGAUCUUGUGGUUAAGACACUGUAUUUGAACUAAAGAGAGCUGACAUCCAUUCUUGGCUCUGAUUCAGACUUCCUCUACAAUCUUGAGCAUGUCACUUGAUCUCACUCAGUUCCCCAUCUGUAAAAUGGGGAUAAUAAUACUGCUUUUCUCCUACCCAUUAUCUGUCUUGACUGUUUAUAGGGAUUGUCUUACUAUAUGUUGUGCUCAGUUGUGGUUUCUAGGCAUUAGUGUAAUACAAGAAUAGAAAUCUCAGGGAACAAUGAAAAAAUAUGAGUUUUAUUUCAAGGAAAGUAAUCUGAGGAUUCCCCAGUUUUAAACAUGUAUAUGACAUUUAGUAUAACUAACUGGGAGGGUCCUUAUGAUUUAUUAAGUAAUAAUCAUAUAUUUGGAUAAUAACUGAAAAAGCUGAAGCAUUUGGUAGUUUGCAUAUAGUUAUGGCUGAGUUAACAAUGAACAUCUUCAAAUUGUUGUACUGCGAAGUGUUCUGUCAUCUCACUUCUGUUCUAUGACUGGCUAUUAUUCCCUCUGUGCUGACUGGCAUUCCUAU